rnacentral:rRNA from 1 species
AACGAACGCUGGCGGCAUGCCUAACACAUGCAAGUCGAACGAGACCUUCGGGUCUAGUGGCGCACGGGUGCGUAACGCGUGGGAACCUGCCCUUAGGUUCGGAAUAACUCCCCGAAAGGGGUGCUAAUACCGGAUAAUGUCUUCGGACCAAAGAUUUAUCGCCUUUGGAUGGGCCCGCGUUGGAUUAGCUUGUUGGUAGGGUAAAAGCCUACCAAGGCGACGAUCCAUAGCUGGUCUGAGAGGAUGAUCAGCCACACUGGGACUGAGACACGGCCCAGACUACUACGGGAGGCAGCAGUGGGGAAUAUUGGACAAUGGGCGAAAGCCUGAUCCAGCAAUGCCGCGUGAGUGAUGAAGGCCUUAGGGUUGUAAAGCUCUUUUACCCGGGAUGAUAAUGACAGUACCGGGAGAAUAAGCUCCGGCUAACUCCGUG